GAGACGCGUUCCUUAUUUGCCCUAAACAAAGAUCGACCGCCUCCUCUUCUUUUCUUCACUUCGUGUUUGCUUGCUUCGCGUCUGUUUCUCUACACCUUCCGACGAGGCUACUGAAACGACGCCCGCCUACCCAAAACGUCGACGACGCUGUACCCAGCAACGCCGCCGGCGCCGGCGCAAGUUCUUCCGUCUCCAACUCGUUCUUCCGCCGACGCAAUAGAUGAAGGCUUUAAAGAAAUUGCAACAAAAGUUCAAUAAGAAGACAAUCUUACCAUAGAAGGGCUGUAAUUUCAAAUCUAGUUCAUCGGAGAUUGUAUCUCCAGUUCAUUAAUUGGGCAUGUUUUUAUGCCUUUUUGCGUGCUCUGUUUCCAGUUCAUAAGUUACCACUCUCCUUGAUACAACUUGUAAACUACUUUCAAGAAUAACUAUUAAGGGUUUUUGUUUCAAGAAUGUGUUUGUACUUGUCAUGAUAUAUAAGAAAUAGCAAUGUACUUUUAUUGAUUUCUUUAUUAUGGAGUCAAACUUUCACCUCUUCCUAUUA